ACCAAUGGGGCAAGCCUACACAUGCAGUCGAGCGGUAGCACAGAGAGCUUGCUCUCGGGUGACGAGCGGCGGACGGGUGAGUAAUGUCUGGGAAACUGCCUGAUGGAGGGGGAUAACUACUGGAAACGGUAGCUAAUACCGCAUAACGUCGCAAGACCAAAGUGGGGGACCUUCGGGCCUCAUGCCAUCAGAUGUGCCCAGAUGGGAUUAGCUAGUAGGUGGGGUAACGGCUCACCUAGGCGACGAUCCCUAGCUGGUCUGAGAGGAUGACCAGCCACACUGGAACUGAGACACGGUCCAGACUCCUACGGGAGGCAGCAGUGGGGAAUAUUGCACAAUGGGCGCAAGCCUGAUGCAGCCAUGCCGCGUGUGUGAAGAAGGCCUUCGGGUUGUAAAGCACUUUCAGCGGGGAGGAAGGCGAUAAGGUUAAUAACCUUGUCGAUUGACGUUACCCGCAGAAGAAGCACCGGCUAACUCCGUGCCAGCAGCCGCGGUAAUACGGAGGGUGCAAGCGUUAAUCGGAAUUACUGGGCGUAAAGCGCACGCAGGCGGUCUGUCAAGUCGGAUGUGAAAUCCCCGGGCUCAACCUGGGAACUGCAUUCGAAACUGGCAGGCUAGAGUCUUGUAGAGGGGGGUAGAAUUCCAGGUGUAGCGGUGAAAUGCGUAGAGAUCUGGAGGAAUACCGGUGGCGAAGGCGGCCCCCUGGACAAAGACUGACGCUCAGGUGCGAAAGCGUGGGGAGCAAACAGGAUUAGAUACCCUGGUAGUCCACGCCGUAAACGAUGUCGAUUUGGAGGUUGUGCCCUUGAGGCGUGGCUUCCGGAGCUAACGCGUUAAAUCGACCGCCUGGGGAGUACGGGCCGCAAGGUUAAAACUCAAAUGAAUUGACGGGGGCCCGCACAAGCGGUGGAGCAUGGUGGUUUAAUUCG
rnacentral:rRNA from 1 species